GUCUACGGCCAUGCCACCCUGAACGGCCGGAUCCCGUCUGAUCUCGGAAGCUAAGCAGGAUCGGGCCUGGUGAGUACUUGGAUGGGAGACCACCUAGGAAGACCGGAUGCUGCAGGCG
rnacentral:rRNA from 1 species